rnacentral:lncRNA from 1 species
GACGACUACUUCGCCGUCACUUGCAAACGGAAUGUAAACAAGUGCCAACAGCUGACGACACCUCUAUACAGACCUAUACUAGUUAAGUUCCAAAUGGCAUGCCCCUCUCAAAGGCUCUCUUCAUCUCUUAUAACGUGCCCUCCUCAAAAGAUUGCCCUCUACUCGCUGAUCAAAUACAUGCAAGAAGGUGAUCAAUAAGCUAUCUCCCCUACCACUAAAUUUUAAUUGGAUAAAAUGGGAUUUUCAAAUAAUUGCAUAAAUGAAAAUCCAAUCCAAUCCACUGGAAAACAAUGUCAAUAUUUUUAUGUUCCCCUUUUUUUAUAAUGCAUUUUGUGGGUCCUUCGAUGCGGAUUCGGAAUGUGAUAGUGCAUGUAUCGUGUAUAUAUCGUUGGUUGUCGCAGUAGUUAUUUUAGCCCCGUCCAUUAAAUGUCUUUCUGAGGAUCACAGCGGGAUUGACAAUCGGUGAUUCUUCAUACCAGAGGUCAGAAAACAGAUCGGUAAAUCUUCAUACCAGAAACAGGGAAAUAUCCAACAGAUAUUUGCACUAAAUUACCCCGGACUCACUUGAAAGUUUUGGGAAAAAAUAUAGGAUUUUUUACGCCUGCAAGAACAUUUCAAAUGUAUUUUCGAACAUGCAAAACCUGAGCUAUCCGAAGAAGUAUCUGAGCGCGAAAAGUCACGUUCGUCCUGACUUAUCGGAUAGAAUGUCGUGCGUUUGGAUGCUCUCAGCCUAAUCUUAGGGUUUCUUGAAAGAUUUCUUUGGAAAAACACCCAAACUGUGCCUUCAAGCAGAAUGAUUCCGUUUCUUGCCAAAAAUUGAAAACUCCAGCAUUUCAGCAAAAUGUAUUUAGUACAUUUUCCAAUAGUUAUUUCAAAAUCAUUAUCUGAGAAAUUUCAGAAUUCUGGUUGGACCUACCCACAGGGUCCUCUUCGCCUAGUGGUCCUGUUCCUGUCGAUGACGCGACAGAGUUUCUGUUUUAAAUCUUUCGAAAUAAAAGUUGUCGUAUAAUCCGUCAAUGUCUCAAUAUGAAAGUUUAUUAAAUUUAUGUCUUUCCCGAAAGAAUACAUGUAAUUAAU